GGGUACUUGAGCAGGAGAAUAUGGUUUAGUUUUGAAUGCUCUGUGAUUAGUAAACCUCUUUACCAUGAGAAGUUUUGUAGGAACUGUUUUAAUACUUUUAUUAAGUUACUCAGAAAUCAAAGCACAGGAUUCAGUUCAUCAGCCGAAUGAUUAUCAAUCAGCACAUGAAGAUGACAGCAUUACUUUGCAAUGUGAAUACAAGACUACAAGCUCAAACCCCACUCUUCUGUGGUACAGACAACACAAUUAUGACUCUCCAAAAUACAUCCUUUUAAAUUAUAAAUACGGUGAUGGAGAUACAGCUCCUGAAUUCAAGAACAGAUUUUACUCCAGACUUAAUUCUUCAGCACAAUCAGUGCCGCUGACAAUUCAACAUCUACAUGUGUCUGACUCUGCUGUGUAUUACUGUGCUCUGCAGCCCACUGUGACAACAGGAUAUUCAGUGCUUCAACAAAAACCUGUACUUACUUACCAAACUCAUAACUCAAAUACAUAAAACCUAAAUAUAUAUAUGUGUAAUUGUUGACAAUGUAUGACCUUAAACUGCAUGCAUGCUCUUAAAACACUUGUGUUUAAAUCUUACUAAUUUGACUAGAAUAUAUAACUAUCACACUGUAUAUUGAACUUCAGUGUUUCUAAUG